CGACUGGGCCGGACAGCCGCGGAUGGGAUCCGAAAGGACCCAGAUGAGGAAAGUCCGGGCUCCACAGGGCAAGGAUAACGGGUAACGCCCGCCGGGGGUAACCCCAGGACAAGUGCAACAGAGAGAUACCGCCCAGUCCCCUCCCUUCGGGGAGGACUGAGCAAGGGUGAAAAGGUGGGGUAAGAGCCCACCCGGCCCAUGGUAACAUGGGUUUUACGCUGUAAACUCUAUCCCGGAGCAACGCCGUGGAGGGACAUUCGGCCGGCCCGGCCGUCCCGAGGAGGCGGCUUGAUCCCGUGGGCAACCAUGGGGCUAGAUAGAUGGCUGUCAAGACAGAACCCGGCUUAUAGGCCCAGUCGCGCC
rnacentral:RNase_P_RNA from 1 species